rnacentral:rRNA from 1 species
GUGGGGAAUAUUGGACAAUGGGCGAAAGCCUGAUCCAGCCAUGCCGCGUGUGUGAAGAAGGUCUUCGGAUUGUAAAGCACUUUAAGUUGGGAGGAAGGGCAGUAAGUUAAUACCUUGCUGUUUUGACGUUACCGACAGAAUAAGCACCGGCUAACUUCGUGCCAGCAGCCGCGGUAAUACGAAGGGUGCAAGCGUUAAUCGGAAUUACUGGGCGUAAAGCGCGCGUAGGUGGUUUUGUAAGUUGGAGGUGAAAUCCCCAGGCUCAACCUGGGAACUGCCUCCAAAACUGCAUGACUAGAGUACGGUAGAGGGUAGUGGAAUUUCCUGUGUAGCGGUGAAAUGCGUAGAUAUAGGAAGGAACACCAGUGGCGAAGGCGACUACCUGGACUGAUACUGACACUGAGGUGCGAAAGCGUGGGGAGCAAACAGGAUUAGAAACCCUAGUAGUCC